AUGCUCCGGAGUGGCUCAGGCUGCCUAGCGCAGCCAGCCCUGCAGGGAGGAAGGAGGCGGGGAGCGGGGAGAGUCGCCCACAGUGGGCUGACAGUCUACAACAGCCUUCUUCUGGGAGGAGUUUUCUCAGCCUCCACCGCUCCUCCCAGAUACGUACCUCGAAAAUACCCUCCGAGAUGUUCUCAGCAACCCCUGCGCCCCUGCUCGCCCACCCCAGCCGGAUGCCCCAAGACUGAGUUUCUGCAAUUAGACUGGACCCGCUGCGCUCCACACAAAACACUGAAGAGACAAGGGAAGAGCGCAGUCAAGGUCCCUGCCUCUCGAAGGGGCACGUCUUGCAGAAGAAUCUUCAACCUCCAAGCAGGAGAAAGGAGGGAAAUAACAUCUCCUCUCCACAGGGGAGGGCGAGCGCACCAGAGACUCUCUGACGCGGGAGUCCUAGCCUCACAGAAAGCGAGCGCCAGCGAAGGAGCCGGGCAGAGAGUGAAGGGAAUCACUGUGAAAAAGUUAGAGAACACAGCUGUGAAACCAGAGGCUCCAGAAAACUGAAAAAAGAACGAACCUUUUACUGACCGAAAGAAGCAAAUGCCCAAGAGAGAAGAAAGCGGAGAAGUAAGGGAUUCAGAAUGUGGCUGCUAAAAUGUGGAAAAUGAAAAUGAACGGCCCACAAAUUUCUGAAAUGAAGUUAAAGGAAGAUCAUGCUAUGAAAAAGCGUGGGAAAGGCACACAUUUCAAGUCAGGUGAGUAUAUCACACGGGAAGAAAUCCAGGUGACUUGGGCUUGGGGUGAAGUUUUAGAUAUAACACCAAAAGCACACUUAGCCAGGCAUGGUGGCACACACCUGUAGUCCCAGCACUCAGGAGGCUGAGCCAGGAGGAUCCUCAUGAGUUCAAGGCCAGCUUGGGCUACAUAAGGAGUUCAAGGACAGCCUGAACUGCAUAGUGUGACCCCCAUCUCAAACUCCCCCCAUCAGAAAAAAGAUGAGUUCAUACUGGACUGGAGGGACCCUAAACCCAGUGGUCUUGUAAGGAGGAGAUCUGGAACAGCAGGUGCACAGCAGCAGAGUGGCCAUGCAAAAUCUGGGCACCCCAGCUGGCAGCCAGGGGACACAGGACUGCGGGAAGGGCUCUGCCCUUAGUGCCUUCACAGAGAGCACAGCCCAGCUGAUACCUGACUUCAGGCUUUUGGCCUCCAGGACUGUGAGUGAAUACAGUUCUGUUGUUGUGUGGCAACUUGUUAUAACAGCCCUGGAAACCCACAUCUACCUGCUGCCUUAGCUUGUCUAAAUUAAACACGCUAGACAGAAAUUAUGUGAAUGACUUAGUGGGUUGUCCUUGUAAGCCGCAUACUUAAUCAUAACCAGCAGUUAUUUACAAAAUCAGUCCCUAGCAAGUGCAUCAAAUAUAUAUCUUACUAAUAUUAUUUACAGAUGAAAUGAGAGUGGAAGUGUUAGAACCAUUAGGAACUCAAAUGCUCAGUGACAGAAAGGAAAGGCAAAUGGGAAGGAACCAAUUAAAAUUUCCGUUCUGCUAGGAGAGAUGUUGCCAGUUUAAAUUCUGUCAUAGAAACUUGUUACUAAAGUACCCUUGCUGAGGCUGCAAGGAAAUCAGUACAGAAACUGUGACAAGGGUGUAGACUCUGUGUACAUUAAGGUCAAACAGGCAGGAGUUGCAAAGUUGGAAACUGUUUGCUUCUUUAUCUCCUGAGGUUGCUUCAGGAAGCCAGUGACUGCUACUUUCACUUCAUAUCAUUUGCCUUUUUGUUUUUCGGUUUGUUUUUGGUAUCAGGGAAUCGAACUCGGGACCUUGCGCUUUCGAGGCAGGUGGCAGAACCACUGAGCUAAAUCCCCGGCCCUCAUUUGCCGUUUUAAAAAGACAGUCUUACUAUGUGGUUCAGGCUGGCCUUAAACUCACUAUGUAUCCCAGGCUGGCCUCAAGCCUGCAGCAGUCCUCCUGCUCAGCCUCCUGAUCUCCAUUACCACAUCAUUUGCUUUCCCUCCGUUUAUACAGUGAAGGGAAUCACUGUGAAAAAGUUAGAGAACACAGCUGUGAAACCAGAGGCUCCAGAAAACUGAAAAAAGAACGAACCUUUUACUGACCGAAAGAAGCAAAUGCCCAAGAGAGAAGAAAGCGGAGAAGUAAGGGAUUCAGAAUGUGGCUGCUAAAAUGUGGAAAAUGAAAAUGAACGGCCCACAAAUUUCUGAAAUGAAGUUAAAGGAAGAUCAUGCUAUGAAAAAGCGUGGGAAAGGCACACAUUUCAAGUCAGGUGAGUAUAUCACACGGGAAGAAAUCCAGGUGACUUGGGCUUGGGGUGAAGUUUUAGAUAUAACACCAAAAGCACAAUCCAUGGAAGAAAAGAUAGGUUGGACUUCAUUAAAAUUGGACCUUUCUGGACAUGUACCUGGGGCUGGGGAUUUAGCUCAGUGGUUUCGCCGCCUGCUGUACAAGCACAAGGACCCGAGUUUGAUCCCCGGUACCAAAAAACAAACAAAGGACAUGUACCCAAAACAUACAAAGGACUUUUAAAAUUCAACAAUGAGAAAAUAAAGAGCUGGAUGUGGUGUGCACGCCUGUCAUCCCAGCACUUGGGAGGACCCUGGUAUACAUAGUGAGUUUAAGGCCAGCCUGGACUAUGUAGCAAGACCCUGUCUCAUAAAAAACUAAAAAAGGGCCGGGGAUUUAGCUCAGUGGUGCUGCCGCCUGGCUCGAAAGCCAAGCGCAAGGUCCUGAGUUUGAUCCCCAGUACCAAACAAGUAAAAAAACAAAAAACAAAACCAAAAAAAGGCCGGGGAUUUAGCUCAGUGGCACAGCGCCUGCCUUGCAAGCACAAGGUCCUGAGUUUGAUCCCUGGUACCAAAAAAAGGAAAGAACCCGAUCUGUGUAAGAGAUCUGAGGACACCUCACUGGUGCAGAUAAACAGGCAGCCAGUAAGCGUGUGAAAAGACACGCAGCACAGUGUAUCAUUACAAAAUCGCAAAUUAAAACAAAAUACCACUCUAUAGCUAUUAGACUGGCUAAAACCCCAAAUACCAAGAAUAGCAAAAGACAGGGGUGACGGCUUUCACUCUCUCUCUUUGCUGGCAAGAAUGCAAAAUGGUACAGUCACUUUGGAGGUAACUUGGCAGCUUCUUUGUUUUGGUACUGGGGAUUGAACUCGGGGCCUUGCACUUACAAGGCAGGCAGUGGAACCACUGAGCUAAAUCCCUGGCACUUGGCAACUUCUUAAGAAGUUAAACAAUAUCAUACCACACAACCCAGCAAUGAAACAGUUGAGCUAAAAAUUUAUGCCCACUCAGAACCUCCACACAAGUGUUUAUAGCAGCUUUAUUCAUAAUUUACCCUGAAUGGAUGCAACUAAGAUGUUCUCCUGGAGGCGAGUGGAUAAACAAAUGCAUGUGUCUGUGCCAGGGAAUAUUACUCUGUGCUAAACAGAAAUGGGCUUGCCGGAGAUUUAGCUCAGUGGUUUCGCCCCCUGCUGCGCAAGCACAAGGACCCAAGUUCGAUCCCUGGUACCAAAAAAAAGAGAAAAAAAAAAAAGAAAUGGGCUGUCAAGCCACAAAAAGGCAUGGUGGAACUCUGAAUGCAUAUUGCUAAAUGGAAAAAAAAAGGAUGGAAAGGCUGCGGACUGCAUGACUCCAACUACCUGACAGUCUGGAAAAGGUAAAACUAUAGACGGUUAAAGAUCAGAGGUUGCCGGGCACGAAAGAAGAAAGAGCAAUGAGUGGGUAGAGUGCAGGAGAAUUUUAGGAUAGCAAAAUGAUUCUGUAUUAUCCUGCAAAACUCAAGAAACUGUACGACACAAAGAGACAAUCCUAAUGUAAAGUGUGACUUUAGUUAGUAAUAACAUAUUGAUACUGGUUCAUAUAUUGUAACGCCGGGUGUGGUGCUGAGCACCUAUGAUCCCAGCACUCGGGCAGGAGGAGUGCCUGAGUUCAAGGCCAGCCUGAAGUACACAGUGAGACCCUUUCUCCAAAACACAAAAAAAUAAAAUAUGAAAAUAUUUAUUGUCACAAACAUACCACACCAGUGCACCAAUGUGAGGUGUUC
rnacentral:lncRNA from 1 species